rnacentral:rRNA from 1 species
UACAGAGGGUGCAAGCGUUGUUCGGAAUUAUUGGGCGUAAAGAGCUCGUAGGCGGCUUGUCACGUCGGGUGUGAAAGACCGGGGCUUAACUCCGGUUCUGCAUUCGAUACGGGCUAGCUAGAGUGUUGCAGGGGAGACUGGAAUUCCUGGUGUAGCGGUGAAAUGCGCAGAUAUCAGGAGGAACACCGGUGGCGAAGGCGGAUCUCUGGGCCUGUCCUGACGCUCAGGCGCGAAAGCUAGGGGAGCAAACAGG